rnacentral:lncRNA from 1 species
CGGACACAGUCAGAGCUCUGCUCUUUUGUUCUCAUUCUGUCUUCCUCUGCCUAGGCCUGGUUGUAUGCAGCAAGGUCACACAGUUCCCAUUCUAGCCUGGGAAAUAUCAUCAAUCCCUUUUUUUGGCCUCAGUUCAAAACUGCCUCCUUCAGCACAAAUAACCCAGAACUCUUAACUUUGUAAAAUAAAACUCAUCCUUUGAAUUAAAUUUAGCUUGGAUCUCUGUGAUUCUGUUCUAUCGGAAGAACCCUAGAGGGCAGACUGUCAUCUGCACCCAACCCACAGCUGUGGGAAGCAGAUUAGGUAACAGAACGACAUAAAAGCUUAAUCAAGGGGAGGCAUUUUUCGGAUAAUGGAAAAUUAUGCAUGCUUCCAAGCUGAGGUCAAUUAUCCAGGGUAAUAAAAAUAUUAAAAACGUGAGAAAGUGAGAUUAAGUGUUGGAGCAAGGUCCCUAAGAGAGCAAAAUAAAGACCAGAGAUAAAGUGCAAGAAUUCCUGCCAGAAGGAUGAUUUGUUUUUCUGUACAUUGGUAGGAAGAAGGUAAAAAAUAAAAGAAGCUACACAGAUGAGUUGAGAAAGACAUGAAGGAUGUUGAAGUGGCUUUUCUCUGGUGGGUAAACUCUUUUUUUUUUUUUUUUUUUUGAGACGGAGUCUCGCUCUGUCGCUCAGCCUGGAGUGCAGUGGCGCCAUCUCGGCUCACUGCAAGCUCCGCCUCCCCGGUUUACGCCAUUCUCCUGCCUCAGUCUCCUGAGUAGCUGGGACUACCAGCGCCCGCCACCACGCCCGGCUAAUUUUUUGUAAUUUUUUGAGACAGGGUUUCACCAUGUUAGCCAGGAUGGUCUCCAUCUCCAGACCUCGUGAUCCGCCCGCCUCGGCCUCCCAAAGUGUUGAGAUUACAGGCGUGAGCCACUGCACCCUGCCAACUCUUUGGAAUAAGAAGGAAUAAAGAUGAGGAGAGAAAGAAAAGGGGUUUGUGCCCAAGGCUAGAAUAACGACAGCAGUGGAAUACAGAAAGGCUCAGAAGAAGAUGGCUCAGAAGGUAGGGAUUGCAAAAAGCACCAUUGUCCAGAAAACUUCAUGUUCAGAUCCAUCGGCUUGCUCUUCCUUCUCUCAACUUGCUCUGAAGAGGUUCCUGAUGAAUAUCCUCACUUAAGUCUAAGUCAGAUGUCAUGUCCUAGAAGAACUGGAACAUCAGGAAGAAUUUCUAUGGUACCCUUCCCUCUGUUGGAGGAGCUCAAUAAAGGGAUUGCAAAGAACUAGAAGCUCUGCCCUGGCUUUGGCACAUGAUUACUUGAAUACACAGUAUUUACCAGGAGUUCCAUUGAGGGAGACAUCCUGAACAUCUUAGGAUGCUAGGUUCCCGCUUACUUUGCAUCUCACUGUUGAGCAGACAGCCUGCUGAAAGUUGUCGCUGACCACCACAUAUAGUAACAGGUUACCAAAGGUGUUCAGAGCAG